AAGAACAGACGGGCAGUAUGGACCCGGUAUAUACACAAUUACAGUAAUAGUUUGUGAAUGGGUUCUCAGAUUUUGCCUACAUAAGAAGUUGAAAAGCAUCGAAAUUGGCAUUAAAGAUGCUUGCAGAAUGAAUAGCAAGGAGGUAGAAGAAGGAAUAUGUGAACAAAGUCCAAAGAUUGCGCGGGUAUGAAACCGAUUGCAGGUCAAAAAGUCAGGCGCCAACCCUAUAUUUGUGUUCUGUGCGCCAACAUAUAACUUUGAAUCAAAAAUCAUAAUAUAUUUUUCAAUUUUUGUA